rnacentral:rRNA from 1 species
AACGAACGCUGGCGGCGCGCCUAAUACAUGCAAGUCGAGCGAGAAGACGUAGCAAUACGUUUGUAAAGCGGCGAACGGGUGAGGAAUACAUGGGUAACCUACCCUCGAGUGGGGAAUAACUAGCCGAAAGGUUAGCUAAUACCGCGUACGCUCCUUGGACUUCGGUUCAGGGAGGAAAGCGAUACCGUGGGUAUCGCGCUCUUGGAUGGGCUCAUGUCCUAUCAGCUUGUUGGUGAGGUAACGGCUCACCAAGGCUUCGACGGGUAGCUGGUCUGAGAGGACGAUCAGCCACACUGGCACUGCGACACGGGCCAGACUCCUACGGGAGGCAGCAGUAAGGAAUAUUGCGCAAUGGGCGAAAGCCUGACGCAGCGACGCCGCGUGGGGGAUGAAGGUCUUCGGAUUGUAAACCCCUUUCGGGAGGGAAGAUGGAACGAGCAAUCGUUCGGACAGUACCUCC